UACGUAGGGCGCAAGCGUUGUCCGGAAUUACUGGGCGUAAAGAGCUCGUAGGUGGUUUGUCGCGUUGUUCGUGAAAACUCACAGCUCAACUGUGGGCGUGCGGGCGAUACGGGCAGACUAGAGUACUGCAGGGGAGACUGGAAUUCCUGGUGUAGCGGUGGAAUGCGCAGAUAUCAGGAGGAACACCGGUGGCGAAGGCGGGUCUCUGGGCCGAUACUGACGCUGAGGAGCGAAAGCGUGGGGAGCGAACAGG
rnacentral:rRNA from 1 species